UUUUUAUUUAUUUAUUUAUUUAUCUUUGCAUGGUUAUGGUAUUGGAUGGAUCAAGCUUUCUCAUGGAUUUUGUUCGAUUCUGGACAUGUUUCAGAAGGGAUUAUCUUAACUCAGUCAACAAUUAUUCUUUCAGCAAACCAUUUCCAGCAAAAUGAACUAAAGAAGCAUACUGUUAUGAGUGCCGAUUCAUAAAGGCUAAAGCUUCGAUACACUGUGCACGUGAGUUUUCCACGAUGACGUCCCAUCAGAUGGAAGUAAGUAAUGCUUGAUCUAUUUUAAUCUGGAUAAUUUUCCCAUUAAAUGUUCCUAAUCUGAGAGAUUGACGGCAACUUUCUUAUAUGAAUAAAGGUUGGCAAAUUUAUUUUUGUAGUUCCACGGUGGUUUUUUAUUUAUUUUGUGUUGUCCACAGUAGUAGUAAGAUUAGAAUGUAAUGCCAAAUUUAAAUGUACAUGCCAUAAUUAAGUAUAUUUAUGUACAAUCUGCAAUUUACUGGCAACUGUUAUAAACAUCUGGUAAGUGGUAAGGGCUAUGGUGGGCUUGAAUGACAAGUAGCGUUUCAUUUGUCCUGAAAAGCACAAUCAACGUGCGUUAUGUGUGGGCGUGGCCAUCUGAGGCAUGCAAUAGUCAAAGGGAAAGGAUAAAGGCUAAUUUUAAGUACCAAGGCGUAUUUUUAGCUACUAGAAAGUCAUGUAGAUGGUCAUUUCUAAUUUCAAAAACAAGUGCAGCAUCAACUUGGCCACUUUUAAGAGGAAAUUGGAGUUGACUUCUGUUGAAAAACUUCCAUGUUUAUCAUCCAGUAUAACAGAGACACUUUGUAUUAUCCACAGAAGGAUUUGUACAGCUGGGUUGUAUAUAUCCUGUCAGUACAAAGUAGCAUAUCUAGUUCCUACAUCACCACAGGAAGCAUCACCAUCCCAUGUUUUGAUUGAAACUUGAAUAUUUUUAAAUUCAGUGCCCCUAUAACUCCAUGCAAUCAAAUUUGUCUGCAUAAAGUAGUUCAAGGUUUUGUUUAUCCAAUUCCCCACUUGUCCAAGGUAUCUGAGUGCCCAUCGCCAACCCAAAUUGACAAAGGCCCAAUUUGUUUAUAGCAAGUGUUAUCAACUGUAGAGGUGAUGGUGCUGUCAGCACUUCACUUUGGAUUCACUUGAAAACUUUCCAGGGGCAUCAAUCAGUGUGAUUAAAUCUGCAAGAGUCAUGAAUAUGUCUAAUGAGGCGGGGGAAUUCAGUUUGUAAACAUAAU
rnacentral:misc_RNA from 1 species